rnacentral:rRNA from 1 species
AACGAACGCUGGCGGCAGGCCUAACACAUGCAAGUCGAACGCUGCAGCAAUGCAGAGUGGCAGACGGGUGAGUAACGCGUGGGAACCUUCCCAGUGGUACGGAAUAGCCCAGGGAAACUUGGGGUAAUACCGUAUAAGCCCUUAGGGGGAAAGAUUUAUCGCCAUUGGAUGGGCCCGCGUCGGAUUAGCUAGUUGGUGAGGUAACGGCCCACCAAGGCGACGAUCCGUAGCUGGUCUGAGAGGAUGAUCAGCCACACUGGGACUGAGACACGGCCCAGACUCCUACGGGAGGCAGCAGUGGGGAAUAUUGGACAAUGGGCGCAAGCCUGAUCCAGCCAUGCCGCGUGAGUGACGAAGGCCUUAGGGUUGUAAAGCUCUUUUGGCGGGGACGAUAAUGACGGUACCCGCAGAAUAAGCUCCGGCUAACUUCGUGCCAGCCGCCGCAGUAA